rnacentral:tRNA from 1 species
AAAUGUAUAGCAUAAUGGUAGUGCGAUAGUCUUUUAAGCUAUCAGGUUUGGGUUCGAGUCCCAAUACAGACA